ACUCUUCUUAGGCCUCUCAUCAGAGCAAAGUCUGUAAAGGUUUAGAAGAGUGUGAGGUGUUCCUGUCCAACAGGAUUACCUUGGGAGAAAAGUGGCCUCUUCUCAGCAGGUGACCCUGGGGAUGGGCCCCGGCUGCUCUUUGCCCUCUGAGGAACUUACAGCCCAGCAGCAAGGAUGACCAUGGACUGUGCUGCAAGCCACUCCACACCCUGCAAGGGAGCGGAAUAAAGUGCUCUGGAGUCCAGUGGUGGGAGAGAACACUGCCAAGCUGAGAAGGCAGGCAGGCUUCCUGGAAGAGGUGACAUGUGGGCAGGCUUUGACCAAUGGGCAGCAUUUACCUGUGAAGGCCAUGGGGGUAGGGAGAAUUCAGCCUCACUCCUACCCACAAAGCUCUCUAGCACCAGGAACCAGUUUCAUGAAAGACAAUGUCUCCACGGAUGGGAGGGCAGGAAGUGGAUGGUUUGAAGAUGAAACUGUACCACCUCAGA
rnacentral:lncRNA from 1 species